CUGUUUAUGUAGCCUAUUAGGAAGCUUGAUACUGUACCAAUCACACCUUGUACUGAAACUACAUAACCUACGUGUUUAGGGGUAUAGUUACAUUUGGAAGCAGCGUUACAAGACCUGAAACAACAAAAAAUACAAAUAAAGGAAAUUAUGACAUAUUAUUUAAUUAAACAGUCAAUAGAG